rnacentral:rRNA from 1 species
GACGAACGCUGGCGGCGUGCCUAAUACAUGCAAGUCGAACGCAGUGGGGACUGGGGAGUAACACUUGGGUAACCUCGCAUCAGAGUGGUUAACACUUGGAAACAGGUGCUAAACGGAUAUUGAUGGAUAGUCCCGCUGUGCAUUAGCUAGCUGGUGAGGUAACGGCUGACCAGUGCGACGAGGCCUAGGCGGCCUGAGGGGUGGAGCGGCCAAACUGGAACUGAGACACGGCCCAGUAUCCUACGGGAGGCAGCAGGGGGGAAUCUGCGGCAAUGGACGAAAGUCUGACCGAGCAACGCCGCGUGAGUGAAGAGGGUUUUCGGGUCGUAAAACUCUUUUGUUAGAGAAGCGGUAACUAGCCAAAAAGCCCCGGCUAACUACGUGCCAGCAGCCGCGGUAAUUC